rnacentral:rRNA from 1 species
GACGAAUGCUGGCUGCGUGCUUAACACAUGCAAGUCGAACGGUGAAGGAGGGCUUGCCCUCCGGAUCAGUGGCGAACGGGUGAGUAACACGUGGGCAACCUGCCCCUCACUCUGGGAUAACGCCGGGAAACCGGCGCUAAUACCGGAUACGACCAGAAGCGACAUCUCUUCUGGUGGAAAGAACUUCGGUGAGGGAUGGGCCCGCGGCCUAUCAGCUAAUUGAUGAGGUAACAGCCCACCAAGACGACAACGGGUAGCCGGCCUAAGAGGGCGACCGGCCACACUGGGACUGAGACACGGCCCAGACUCCUACGGGAGGCAGCAGUGGGGAAUAUUGCGCAAUGGGCGAAAGCCUGACGCAGCGACGCAGCGUGAGGGACGAAGGCCUUCGGGUUGUAAACCUCUUUCAGCGGGGACGAAGCGAAAGUGACGGUACCCGCAGAAGAAGCACCGGCUAACUACGUG